AUGAAGGUUAAACUUCAACCCGACGCGGAUUCGCAGACACAGAGUUGCUCCAACAGUGAUGAGGAGGGAACAAACAGCCUCAGCGACCAGUAUAUCGUUGUCAAGCUGGAAGAUGAAGACCCAGAAACCGAGAUGGACCUGAGUAUAUUCGCUCCUGUCGAGUCCUCGGAGUGUGAGGAGGAAGAGGAGGAGGAUGAAGAUGAAAACGACGAUGAGCUUUCAGAGUCCUCCAGUGUUUGUACCUGGAGAAGGAAACACACCAGAGAGCGAGAUAACCGGGAGGACCCAGUGCCGCUUGAGAAACAGUCUUCCAGGAUAAGUUUAAAAGGACAGCGAAAGAGCCGACAGACCUUUCUGGCUGAGCAGAGACACAAGCAGAGUCUGGACUGUAGUGCUGCAAACAGGGACGUGAAUGUCGGACUCCCAUCUGAGAAUCACACGUUUUACCAAGCUGCGCCUCCAUUUGAUUCAGCCUGUGGAGGUCCUGUAGAGAUGUCUGGACUGGACACAGCAAUCAGCCCUUUAGCUGCCAUGGAGCCUCCUGUAUUUCCAAACGCACCAGUACAGAGCACAUCUGUCGUCGCGGAGGACCAGCAGAAUAUACUACUUGAGGUCCUGAACCAUUGUAGGUUCCUGCAUGCAGCAGUGCAGAGGCUUGAACAGAAGAUUGACAGACAGAUGUCAAAUGAGCCAUUAUAUGAAAGAAGCUCAGCGACGCUGAAGAAUGGUCCAAAGAGAAGGGCGUCUCUGCGUGUUGAAGAAAGGCAGCUGUCCUGGCCUUUGGCCCAGAGACUUGAUCCACCAGACCAGAGAAACCCACGCUGGAUCCCUCCCUGGAAACGAGGGCUGGACAGGGCAGACCUUCAGCAAGCUGACAACAGCAGCCCUCAGCCGGGCAAACCUCCCGGCGGCGGACGAGGCAGAGGCAGGGGCAGGGGCAGAGGCAGAGGACGGGGGCGACGGGGGCGCGGUAGCGGAUCCCAGCAUCAGUUUCAAACUCCUGAUCCUGCUUCACUCAUGUCAAAGCCCAAUGGAGAAGAGGUCUGCACUGCAUCCACAGAUGACCCACAGCCGUCCCAGGUGGACGGGGAGGGUGUUGAACUGGAGAUGAUGCCCAACAGUAAAGAGGCCACACUUGAGGUUCAGGAUGACAACAAAGUAAUGAUCGGAAGCCCCUUGAGGAAAGUGUGGAUCCCGCUGUCUGUGUACAAGGAGGUGGUGUUUAAGCAGGUGGAGCCCCAGAAGGCUGUAGUGCCUGUGCUUCACGCGCUCUUCCCCAUCAGCACUCUGUCCUGCAGUGCGGUCACAGGAAACCCUGCAAAAGGCAUCCAGCAACUCGACCCCAACAAAAUAGAAGCCCUUCGAGAGUUUCUUGCGGAGAUGUACCCACAGUUUGACGUCGGUGUGAGGGGCGUGACGUGGGCACAGUGUCUUGGAGUGAUAAACAACAUCAACAAAGACCUAAAGAAACAAGCGGAAAAAACAUCACAUCUGCCAACAGAGGGCGGUUACACAAGAAAUGAUUGUUCAUACUCUUGAGGAUCUGACACUCGUACUCGAUGUGCAACAACGUAACCAGUUUUAUUCACUUCACUGAUACAGUGUUCAUAACUGAAGUGCAAGUCCCUGUUUUGACAACAGCUGUCUUUUGUUCUCUCUUCUAUAGCUGCUAAGUUUCAAUGGAGAGAAAGGUUUUGGAUGUGUAAUAUAUUAACAAUUCUUUUGUUCUUAAUAAAGCCUUAUAUUAACUUUUAAUUUUUGUUUAA
ensembl:lncRNA